AUUGAACGCUGGCGGCAGGCUUAACACAUGCAAGUCGAGCGGAGUGAUGGUGCUUGCACUAUCACUUAGCGGCGGACGGGUGAGUAAUGCUUAGGAAUCUGCCUAUUAGUGGGGGACAACAUCUCGAUAGGGAUGCUAAUACCGCAUACGUCCUACGGGAGAAAGCAGGGGAUAACUGGUGACCUUGCGCUAAUAGAUGAGCCUAAGUCGGAUUAGCUAGUUGGUGGGGUAAAGGCCUACCAAGGAGACGCUCUGUCGCGGGUCUGAGAGGAUGAUCCGCCACACUGGGACUGAGACACGGCCCAGACUCCUACGGGAGGCAGCAGUGGGGAAUAUUGGACAAUGGGGGGAACCCUGAUCCAGCCAUGCCGCGUGUGUGAAGAAGGCCUUAUGGUUGUAAAGCACUUUAAGCGAGGAGGAGGCUCUUUUGGUUAAUACCCAAGAUGAGUGGACGUUACUCGCAGAAUAAGCACCGGCUAACUCUGUGCCAGCAGCCGCCGUAA
rnacentral:rRNA from 1 species